CUGCAGUCUGCCCCAGGGCAUGGGGUCUAGAUGAUGACUGGCAGUAGCCUGAUACUGAGGUGAGAUAGGGAUAGUGGGUGGAGGUUCCCCUGAGAGGGGGAGACCCUGAAUUGUGGGUAUAGUACCA